GUCCUUUUGAUGUUAAUUUAAGGUCUAACCUGCCCACUGAAAUUUUUUGAAGGGCCGCAGUAAUUUGACUGUGCAAAGGUAGCAUAAUCAUUAGUUUUUUAAUUGAAAGCUUGUAUGAAGGGUUGGACGAGGUAAAUUCUGUCUCUACUUAAUUUUAUUUAGAAUUUAAUUUUUAAGUUAAAAAGCUUAAAUUUAUUUAAAAGACGAGAAGACCCUAUAGAUCUUUAUAUUAAAAAUAUUAAUUUUAAUUAAGAAUAUUUAAUUUUUUAAUGUUUAUAAUAUUUUAUUGGGGUAAUAAAAAGAUUAAAAUAAUUCUUUUUUUAUUUUAACAUUAAUUUAUGAUUAUAUGAUCCAAUUUUAUUGAUUAAAAGAUUAAGUUACCUUAGGGAUAACAGCGUAAUUUUUUUAGAGAGUUCAUAUCGAUAAAAAAGUUUGCGACCUCGAUGUUGGAUUAAAAAUUAUCUUAGGUGUAGAAGUUUAAGAUUUUGGUCUGUUCACCAUUAAAUUUUU
rnacentral:rRNA from 1 species